rnacentral:rRNA from 1 species
UUUCUUGGAGAGUUUGAUCCUGGCUCAGGACGAACGCUGGCGGCGUGCCUAAUACAUGCAAGUCGA